ACGGAGGAUGCAAGCGUUAUCCGGAUUUAUUGGGUUUAAAGGGUGCGUAGGCGGAGUAAUAAGUCAGUGGUGAAAACCUGCAGCUUAACUGUGGAACUGCCAUUGAUACUGUUAUUCUUGAGUGUGGUCAAGGUAGGCGGAAUGUGUAAUGUAGCGGUGAAAUGCUUAGAUAUUACACAGAACACCAAUUGCGAAGGCAGCUUACUGGACCAUUACUGACGCUGAUGCACGAAAGCGUGGGGAGCGAACAGGAUUAGAUACCCUGGUAGUCCACGCCGUAAACGAUGAUCACUCGCUGUUGGCGAUACACAGUCAGCGGCUAAGCAAAAGCAUUAAGUGAUCCACCUGGGGAGUACGGCCGCAAGGCUG
rnacentral:rRNA from 1 species